rnacentral:tRNA from 1 species
AUGUGGUGGCUCAGUGGUAGAGCGCUUGCCUAGCACAUGUGAGGCACUGGGUUCAAUCCUCAGCACCACAUA